UUUCAUUCACUUUGAUAACAAAUUAAAAAUCAAAGUUUUAAUAAAAUGAUUAUCAAGAAGAUUAUUGCAGAGAGGAACCUCUCGUAAGAAAAUUAUCAAGAUUUAACAUUGAAUCUCAUGUCUCAAACUACUCUCACUCCAUUUUCACCAUCAAUCACAACUAUUCACUCGACGUCUUUGUAUACAACAAUAUAAUUUGGACAUUUUCUUCAUCGCUGGAUUCUUACUCUUUGGGAGCAUGUUAAUUGUAUUGGUAUUGUCACUGAUUUGGACUCGUGUUUAUUUGUUGUUAAUUCGAUUAUUCAAAUGUAUUUUUCUUUUGGCAAUGAUGUUUCUUCUUCACAUAAGGUGUUUAAUGAGUUUGUAUUGUUGUUUAGAAUGCUUUCAUGGAUGCUUAUGUCAAAGUAGAUGAUAUGUGUAAUUACAGAAGUUGUUUGAUUUUAUGUCUAAAAGGGAAAAAGAUUUUGUUUGGAAUAGUUUCUUUUUCGUUCAAUCCAA
rnacentral:lncRNA from 1 species